rnacentral:rRNA from 1 species
AGAGUUUGAUCAUGGCUCAGGAUGAACGCUGGCGGCGUGCCUAAUACAUGCAAGUCGAACGAGGUGCUUUUGUAGCAAUACGAGAGUAUCCUAGUGGCGAACGGGUGAGUAACGCGUUGGUGACCUACCCCAAAGUGUGGGAUAACAGUCCGAAAGGACUGCUAAUACCGCAUGUGGUUAUUGGAUUUAGAAACCGGUAACUAAAGGAGCAAUUCGCUUUGGGAGGGACCCGCGUCCCAUCAGCUAGUUGGUGAGGUAAUGGCUCACCAAGGCGACGACGGGUAGGGGACCUGAGAGGGUGGCCCCCCACAAUGGAACUGAAACACGGUCCAUACACCUACGGGUGGCAGCAGUAGGGAAUAUUGGUCAAUGGGCGAAAGCCUGAACCAGCAACGCCGCGUGUGUGAUGAAGGCCUUCGGGUCGUAAAGCACUUUUCUGGGAGAUGAGAAAGGACAGUAUCCCAGGAAUAAGUCUCGGCUAACUACGUGCCAGCAGCCGCGGUAAUUC